rnacentral:tRNA from 1 species
GGAGAGAUGGCCGAGUGGACGAAGGCGCGUGACUCGAAAUCACGUGUUGCCGCAAGGCAACCGGGGGUUCAAAUCCCUCUCUCUCCG